rnacentral:rRNA from 1 species
GACGAACGCUGGCGGCGUGCUUAACACAUGCAAGUCGAACGGAAAGGCCCUGCUUUUGUGGGGUGCUCGAGUGGCGAACGGGUGAGUAACACGUGAGUAACCUGCCCUUGACUUUGGGAUAACUUCAGGAAACUGGGGCUAAUACCGGAUAGGAGCUCCUGCUGCAUGGUGGGGGUUGGAAAGUUUCGGCGGUUGGGGGUGGACUCGCGGCUUAUCAGCUUGUUGGUGGGGUAGUGGCUUACCAAGGCUUUGACGGGUAGCCGGCCUGAGAGGGUGACCGGCCACAUUGGGACUGAGAUACGGCCCAGAAUCCUACGGGAGGCAGCAGUGGGGAAUAUUGCACAAUGGGCGGAAGCCUGAUGCAGAAACGCCGCGUGCGGGAUGACGGCCUUCGGGUUGUAAACCGCUUCCGCCUGUGACGAAGCGUGAGUGACGGUAAUGGGUAAAGAAGCACCGGCUAACUACGUG